rnacentral:rRNA from 1 species
UACGAAGGGGGCUAGCGUUGUUCGGAAUUACUGGGCGUAAAGGGCGCGUAGGCGGUGUGUCAAGUCAGGCGUGAAAGCCCCGGGCUCAACCUGGGAAUGGCGAUGGAGACUGCAAGGCUAGAAUCUGGCAGAGGGGGGUAGAAUUCCACGUGUAGCAGUGAAAUGCGUAGAUAUGUGGAGGAACACCGAUGGCGAAGGCAGCCCCCUGGGCUAAGAUUGACGCUCAUGCACGAAAGCGUGGGGAGCAAACAGG